rnacentral:rRNA from 1 species
UACGAAGGGGGCUAGCGUUGCUCGGAAUCACUGGGCGUAAAGCGCACGUAGGCGGAUUGCUAAGUCAGGGGUGAAAUCCUGGAGCUCAACUCCAGAACUGCCCUUGAUACUGGCGGUCUCGAGUCCGGGAGAGGUGAGUGGAACUGCGAGUGUAGAGGUGAAAUUCGUAGAUAUUCGCAAGAACACCAGUGGCGAAGGCGGCUCACUGGCCCGGUACUGACGCUGAGGUGCGAAAGCGUGGAGAGCAAACAGG